AAGCACUUGAUUAUUUUCUAAAGCUUCAUUUGAAUUUUGUGGUGAAUGGUUAGUGCUGACAACAGCUGCUUAGAACUUUUCCUGCCACAUAUAAUGUUUCAGGAUCUACUGCUAUAUAAUUUGUAAGGCUUCUGCUAAUAUUUAAGGCCACUCUCACUGUUUGUUUCUUGCUGUGAGAGUUACUUAUGCCGGCAAGCAAGACAACUUUGCAUUGGAGUCCAGAUCAGCAAGCAGCUAAAGGAUCAGAAUAUCCCCCAUGUCCAUGUAUUUCGGUGUAUAUCUCCAUAAACUAAUACCAGUAUCAGGAAACAACUUGAACUGAGGCAAGGAUCUUCCUGAUGCCUUUCCUGAGCCUGUUAGCUCAAAGCAUAUGUCUCCCUCAUUAUUUUUCUCCUCAUAAGUUGGUUACAGGUCUGCCAAAAUUUGGUUUGGUCAUGUUAUUGGCUAUAUAGGUUGUCUUGUGUGAUGUGCUCACCAAUGAAGCUAUGGAUAUGAACAAAUCUUCAAUUAACUCUGCUCAGACGCUGUAACAAUCCAAUAAGUAAUGCUACUUUUUUGUCCUUUGAACUCUGAAUUACUACUCACUGUAUGCUGGUUUGAGGAAGUUUAAUGGUUAUUUUUAUGUGG